GAGUUUGAUCCUGGCUCAGGAUGAACGCUGGCGGCGUGCCUAAUACAUGCAAGUCGAACGAAACUUCUUUAUCACCGAGUGCUUGCACUCACCGAUAAAGAGUUGAGUGGCGAACGGGUGAGUAACACGUGGGCAACCUGCCCAAAAGAGGGGGAUAACACUUGGAAACAGGUGCUAAUACCGCAUAACCAUAGUUACCGCAUGGUAACUAUGUAAAAGGUGGCUAUGCUACCGCUUUUGGAUGGGCCCGCGGCGCAUUAGCUAGUUGGUGGGGUAAAGGCUUACCAAGGCAAUGAUGCGUAGCCGAACUGAGAGGUUGAUCGGCCACAUUGGGACUGAGACACGGCCCAAACUCCUACGGGAGGCAGCAGUAGGGAAUCUUCCACAAUGGGCGAAAGCCUGAUGGAGCAACGCCGCGUGGGUGAAGAAGGUCUUCGGAUCGUAAAACCCUGUUGUUAGAGAAGAAAGUGCGUGAGAGUAACUGUUCACGUUUCGACGGUAUCUAACCAGAAAGCCACGGCUAACUACGUGCCAGCAGCCGCGGUAAUACGUAGGUGGCAAGCGUUAUCCGGAUUUAUUGGGCGUAAAGGGAACGCAGGCGGUCUUUUAAGUCUGA
rnacentral:rRNA from 1 species